rnacentral:rRNA from 1 species
AGGACGAACGCUGGCGGCGUGCUUAACACAUGCAAGUCGAGCGGAAAGGCCCUUCGGGGUACUCGAGCGGCGAACGGGUGAGUAACACGUGAGCAACCUGCCCCUGGCUCUGGGAUAGCCUUCGGAAACGGGGAUUAAUACCGGAUAUUCACUGCUUCCUGCAUGGGGGGGUGGUGGAAAGUUUUUCGGCUUGGGUGGGGCUCGCGGCCUAUCAGCUAGUUGGUGGGGUAAAGGCCUACCAAGGCGACGACGGGUAG